rnacentral:rRNA from 1 species
UUCUGGAUAUAAAGUAACCAGAGUACUAUGAAUAUUAAAAAUUUAAAACUCAAAGAACUUGGCGGUGUUUUAGACCACUUAGGGGAACCUGUCUCAUAAUCGAUAAUCCACGUUAUACCUGACCUUUUUUUGUAUUCAGUUUGUAUACCGUUGUCGUCAGGUAACUUUUUAGAGAUUAGAAGUUAGCAGCAGAAAUAUAAUUUAAUACGUCAAAUCAAGGUGCAGCUAAUGAAAAGGGGAGGAUGGGUUACAAUUAUAAUUUAUAAUGACGGAAGGCGGACUUGAAAGUAAAUUAAAUAUGAAUAAUUUGAAUAAGGCUCUGAAACGUGU